AGAUUGAACGCUGGCGGCAGGCCUAACACAUGCAAGUCGAGCGGCAGCACGGGUACUUGUACCUGGUGGCGAGCGGCGGACGGGUGAGUAAUGCCUAGGAAUCUGCCUGGUAGUGGGGGAUAACGCUCGGAAACGGACGCUAAUACCGCAUACGUCCUACGGGAGAAAGCAGGGGACCUUCGGGCCUUGCGCUAUCAGAUGAGCCUAGGUCGGAUUAGCUAGUUGUGAGGUAAUGGCUCACCGAAGGCGACGAUCCGUAAUGGUCUGGAGAGGAUGAUCAGUCACAUGGAACUGAGACACGGUCAGACUCCGUACGGGAGCAGCGAGUUAGGGAAUAGUUGGAACAAGU
rnacentral:rRNA from 1 species